rnacentral:rRNA from 1 species
AACGAACGCUGGCGGCAUGCCUAACACAUGCAAGUCGAACGAGACCUUCGGGUCUAGUGGCGCACGGGUGCGUAACGCGUGGGAACCUGCCUUUAGGUUCGGAAUAACAGUGAGAAAUUACUGCUAAUACCGGAUGAUGUCUUCGGACCAAAGAUUUAUCGCCUUUAGAUGGGCCCGCGUUGGAUUAGCUAGUUGGUGGGUAAAGGCCUACCAAGGCGACGAUCCAUAGCUGGUCUGAGAGGAUGAUCAGCCACACUGGGACUGAGACACGGCCCAGACUCCUACGGGAGGCAGCAGUGGGGAAUAUUGGACAAUGGGCGAAAGCCUGAUCCAGCAAUGCCGCGUGAGUGAUGAAGGCCUUAGGUGUAAAGCUCUUUUACCCGAGAAGAAAAGGCCAUGCGUGGCAAAUUGCCGGUACCAGAUGAAUAAGCACCGGCUAACUCCGUG